CUACGGGCGGCACCAGUGGGGAAUAUUGCCCCCUUUAUUAAACUCUUAUUCCUCCACGCCGCCCCGCCUAUGACACUUUUCGGAGCGUAAACUCCUUUUAUAUAGGAAGAAUAUUCCUUUCCUCUCCCCCUAAGCGCCGGCUAACUCCGUGCCAGCAGCCGCGGUAAUACGGAGGGCGCAAGCGUUACUCGGAAUCACUGGGCGUAAAGAGCGUGUAGGCGGAUUAAAAAGUCAGAAGUGAAAUCCUAUAGCUUAACUAUAGAACUGCUUCUGAAACUCUUAAUCUAGAAUAUGGGAGAGGUAGAUGGAAUUUCCGGUGUAGGGGUAAAAUCCGUAGAGAUCAGAAGGAAUACCGAUUGCGAAGGCGAUCUACUAGAACAUUAUUGACGCUGAGACGCGAAAGCGUGGGGAGCAAACAGGAUUAGAUACCCCAGUAGUC
rnacentral:rRNA from 1 species